GGGGAAUAUUGGACAAUGGGCGAAAGCCUGAUCCAGCCAUGCCGCGUGUGUGAAGAAGGUCUUCGGAUUGUAAAGCACUUUAAGUUGGGAGGAAGGGUUGUAGAUUAAUACUCUGCAAUUUUGACGUUACCGACAGAAUAAGCACCGGCUAACUUCGUGCCAGCAGCCGCGGUAAUACGAAGGGUGCAAGCGUUAAUCGGAAUUACUGGGCGUAAAGCGCGCGUAGGUGGUUCGUUAAGUUGGAUGUGAAAGCCCCGGGCUCAACCUGGGAACUGCAUCCAAAACUGGCGAGCUAGAGUACGGUAGAGGGUGGUGGAAUUUCCUGUGUAGCGGUGAAAUGCGUAGAUAUAGGAAGGAACACCAGUGGCGAAGGCGACCACCUGGACUGAUACUGACACUGAGGUGCGAAAGCGUGGGGAGCAAACA
rnacentral:rRNA from 1 species